UAAGGUGACUAUAGCAAUGGGGUUCCACCUCUUCCCAUUCCGAACAGAGAAGUUAAACCCAUUAGCGCCGAUGGUACUACAGUCAUGUGGGAGAGUAGGUCGUCGCCAAUC
rnacentral:rRNA from 1 species